rnacentral:rRNA from 1 species
AUGAAAGAAAGAUGGUGGCCUGGGAACCCAAGCUGUUCAUUUUGUGAUCAGUUGGAAACAGCCCAACAUUUAUUCUUCCUAUGUCUUGUAGCUAGAGUGGUGUGGAGGAAUGUUGGGUCUGUUAGGGACUCUUGUUGCCCUAACUCUAUAUGUCAAUACUAUGCUUGGGUUUAUGCUUUGUUGCCUGGUUUUGAUAAUGUUUACACUGUUGGGCUAGCAGCAAUUUGUUGGGCUAUUUGGCUUGCCUGGAAUCGUGCCACAUUUCAGCUCAAAUGGAUAAAUACUCCCUUUGAGAUUUUUUUACGUCUUCUGGUUUUCUGAUGUAUUGGGCAAGGCUUCAGAAACCAGAGAUGA